GAUGAACGCUGGCGGCGUGCCUAACACAUGCAAGUCGAACGAGAAGUGGAGACGGAAACCUUCGGGCGGAAGACUUUAUUUCGAGUGGCGGACGGGUGAGUAACGCGUGGGUAACCUGCCUCAUACAGGGGGAUAACAGUUGGAAACGACUGUUAAUACCGCAUAAGACCACAGCACCGCAUGGUGCGGGGGUAAAAACUCCGGUGGUAUGAGAUGGACCCGCGUUCGAUUAGCCAGUUGGCGGGGUAACGGCCCACCAAAGCGACGAUCGAUAGCCGAUCUGAGAGGAUGACCGGCCACAUUGGGACUGAGACACGGCCCAAACUCCUACGGGAGGCAGCAGUGGGGAAUAUUGCACAAUGGGGGAAACCCUGAUGCAGCGACGCCGCGUGAGUGAAGAAGUAUUUCGGUAUGUAAAGCUCUAUCAGCAGGGAAGAAAAUGACGGUACCUGAGUAAGAAGCCCCGGCUAACUACGUG
rnacentral:rRNA from 1 species